AAGAGCCGUGUGAGGGAAAACUUCAUGCACGGUUCUGUGAGGGGCAUCGAAUAACCGAUGAGGUUAUUACGAUGCCUACUCGAC
rfam:Candidatus Altiarchaeales archaeon WOR_SM1_86-2 WORSMTZ_5974, whole genome shotgun sequence.